UGACUGUUAGUUUAAUGUAAAACACCUUUGGUUUUCAACCAAAGAAAAUAUAGGUUCGAUUCCUGUACGGUCAA
rnacentral:tRNA from 1 species